GAUGACGGCAAGAAAGUCGUAGGCGUUCCCCAUUCUUAUUCGGCCACGGCCUCCCCAGAUGCCUGCGAGCAGAUCGAGCAGGGGGCCGGCGAGCAGGGCGUGCGGCGCGCAGCGGGUGUGUGCGGCUUGUCGGGUUGGCGAUCCAAGCAGGGGAGACGGGGUUGGCGGCUUGGAGAGCGGGCCUCGUCGGGGACGGCAGCGGCGGCGCGAACAGCUGGCCUCCUCGCGGCGGCCUGGGCGGAGACUGCGGGCGCGCGCGGCGGGUGGUGUCCGCGCGAUGGCGCCGGCGCUGCGUGGCAGAGGAGGCCCGCCGCUGCCCCCACGCGCGUCUCCGUCCACGACGCUCGCCGGCACCUCCGCAUCUGCUCGCUGCGCCAUUUCCGCAUCUGCUCGCCGCGUCAUCUCUGCAUCUGCUCACCGCCGUUGGUCGCAUCGAGGCAGGCUCCCUCUUCCAGUACGCAGGCGGGGAUGGGGCGGAGGCGGAGGGGUGGAGGCGAUGGGUCGGAGGUGGCGGGGUGGAUGUCUCCUUGAUUCCACCUGCCCCCUUGGCCGGCCUCCUCGAGCUUCGCCAGGCAUGCACGUCCCAUGGCAUUGCCUGAGAUUUGCGCCUCCCUCCUUCGUAAAUUUUUUAGGUAUGCAAUUUAACAGUGCACAUUACAUUUCACGUUUAUGCACCGUAUGUUUAAGUACUUUGUAUUAGAAUAUAUUUUUUUUGCAAGGAGUUGUUUAUUUCGAAUUGUACAUUUAUUUGAGAUGGUGACUUUUGAAACAUCAAAUUCAUAUCCGUACAUUAUAUUUCCUUAAUUGAUUAGAAGAUCUCCUUGUACACAAUGUUUUUGGCUUUACUCUGUCCGUGGCAUUCAGAGUCAUCGAUGAGCACCUUCAGCCCUUUCCUGUUUGUGACCCUAGAUAAUGCCAUAUAUAACUGACCAUGGCGGUAAACCUGUUUGGACAAAUAUAAUCCGACUGUUUUUAGAGAUUGGCCCUGGCUCUUAUUGAUUGUCAUUGCGAAACACACCGUUAGGGGAUACUGUCUUCUUUUCAGCAUAAACAGCCACUUAGAUUCACUUGGCGACAUGUUGAUUUGAGGUAUGCAUACUUUUUGGCCCAAUUGUGUUCCUGUAAUAAUUUUAGCCUUGAUAUAUUUGUUUCCAAGUUGAGUUAUUGUCAUUGUUGUGCCAUUACAUAAACCUGCUGACUGGUUGAUGUUUUGAAGGAGCAUCACCGGAAGGCCGACUUUCAGUCUAAGCUCAUGGUUUGGGAUUCCAGGGAACUUCAAGCUGUUGAGGAAUUCCGUUGGGUAUAUAUGCUCUAUGCUUUUGCUUGUAGUUGCUUUGCACACACUGUCUGAGCUAAGAUAUGUUACUUCUUCACCUUCUAUUUGGCUCAUUAUGUACUCAUUUAUCUCUUCUACCGUUUUGUUUUCUGGGCAUUGUAUAGCUCUUUCCUCGAGGAAUUUUGGGUCUCGGUAGUUGUUGAAAAGGUCUGGAUAGGUGCUUUUUACGAUUGUUUCUUUGGGUUCAUCUCCCGUGUCUAGCAUCAGAUCACUUGGGAUUUAGAUCCACUCGUCUCCUUCAUCUGAUGUUGUGAUCCCAUCACCUAUAUUCAGUAUCCACUCAGCGAAUUCCUUGUUCUCCUGUUGCUGUUUUGUAUCGUUAGAUAUACAGCUGAGCCUCAUGUUCUCUGUGAGCUCGUAAAUUUCAAAGUGGUUCCAGAGAUAUGAUCGCUUGAUAGAUGUGUUCACUAUGUGUUCUCUCCUCCCUUUUGGAAUGAACGGAAGGAUUUGUCGGAAGUCUCCUCCUAGCACAACGGUCAUCCCACCAAAUGGUUUUUUUAUCGCUUUUGUCAUUGUUAAAUAUGAGUAUUUCCCUGAGGCUUUUGUCUAGUGCCUCGAAGCAUUUUCUGUUAGCCAUUGGAGCUUCGUCCCACAAAAUUAGAGGUCUUUUUCAGCAGCUCUGCAAGAUGAGUUCCUUGCUUGAUUUCGCAUGUUGAUUCAUCUGUUAUGUUAAUUGGAAUUCUGAAACUCGAGAUUUAGAGGUCUUCCUUUCGUCGUUGCUGAAUCCUUUUCUAUAGAUCCACUUGUAUCAUUGUUGAUUUGUUCGCCAUCACAAUCUUUGUCUGAGUCAUCUUCCACAAUCAGUGCUCUACGUCUUCUUUUAUUUAAAGUAUUGAGUUUCUUCGUUGUUGAAUCUUCUUCUUUAGAUCCACUUGAAUAAUUGCUGAUUUGUUUGCCAUCCUCUAAUUCUUCAAUAUUUGCAACCAUGCCUGAUAACGUUUUGAUAGAUGAACCACUUGUGACAUGUUCCUGCAGAAGAUAAUUAUCAUAGUAUCAAAUACAUAAAAAGAUUAUUAUUUUAGGAUAAAGAUAUAGAAAAAUGUGUUUACCUCAGCUUGAUCAUCAAAAUGUUUCAUCUCAAGCUUAUCAUUUAGCUCAAAUGUUCUUUAACUAAAUAGUAUUCCUUUCCUUCUGUCAAGUUAUGGUCACUAAGCUUGAAUCGAAAGAUAAGUGUUUUUCCACAAAGCUGUUGUAUGCUCUUAGGAACCUCUUCAUAAUUUCCAUUAAGUGAAUCUAGCAUGUUAGUGAUUGUUGUCUUGAGCAUUCUUUGUGCUUCGUCGUCAAAUAUACUGCAGGUAGUGCUUGUUGUGUGGUCACUAAUUUGGAUCCGAAUCCAAUAUCUGUCAUAUCAAAGUUGUCAAUGUAAUGUCACGAUAAUAAAUAAUAAAUGUAAAAUAUUAUUUGGCACAAUGUUAUUACCUAGGAGUUGUUGCUUCAGGACAUGUAUUGCACUUAUUGCAAUGAUAUUUGUUGGCUAUUUUAGUGCACAUUUUAUUGCAAACAUUGCAUGACAUGUACCACCACAUAUCAUUGUCUAGUCGAACAAUUGUGGCCCUUGAUGUAAAAACAAAAUCCUGCAAUGUAAAAUGCCAUGGAAAAGUUUUGAACAACAAAAGGUUAUUUAACAAUCAAGAAAUAAAAAAAAUGAAAUUCAUGAAUUACUUGAUUUGUUGGGUUCUCGUGCCUCAUUUGGGUAAUUUCCUGUAAAGUUCUCCUAUUAUAAAACAUUUGAUCCUCUAAUGUACCUUGUGUACUUUUGUCUACCUCCAUUAGUUUUGGUACAUUUUCUUCAUAUGGAACACUAAAAUAUAUGUGGUAUUAGGACAAGAAGAAUAAAUAAGCAUAAGAAAUAAAAACAAUAAAAGGACAACAUCUUCAUUACCUAGCAAUAAAUUUCCAAGUUUCAGGGAUAUCCAAAUCCUUAUAUAAUCUUGUGCCGUUGGUAGUUUUUAGAGACAGCAUACCUAUUAUAUGAUCAUUAACACGUUAGCUUUCAUAAAUUAGUAGCAUCUUUAUGAUGUCUUGUGUUGAAAGAACUAACCUUGCAAACCUUCUACCAUUGUUGAAGUAACAAUUACAACUGUGUGCUUGCCAAUAACAUCUUCACUUAAAGAAUGAGCUAAAUCUCCCCACAAUGUUACUUUAACUUUUUGAUCCCUGAAAUAUUGCGUGUCAUAGAAUUCAAUCAUUAGUCCAAAUUAAGUUAAAGUAACAACGUUUCAGAAAACAAUGGCUAUGUACUGUGUAAUUUUACCUUGAUAUGAGAAGUUCAAUUUCGCGAAUAUCUUUUUGGCGUGGAUUAGCUGUAUUUUUCAAUAUCAUUCUAGAUUCUAUUUGUUUAAUCUUUGUCAAUAAUCCCAUAACAUCUGCAAAUUAGUGAUUAAAUUAUGAUACUUUAUUUAUUAUCAUAAUGCACAUGAAUAUUAAAAAUAAUAAAUAAAUAAAAAUACACAUACCUAAGCAUUGCUUAUCUAUAUUUUUCCUUGCAAGCAGUGUAUCUUUAGAGGCAAACUCAAAGUAAUAGUCUGGAAAUUUAUCUGAACAAUCUUCCACUUCUUUGACAUUGGUAUUAAAAAUGAAAACUACUUUCAAAGCAUUAUUAACUGGAUGAUAUCUGGUAUCUUCUUGGAUUUUAAAAUUGCUUAGCUCAUAGAUAGAAUCCUCAUUGAUCUUGGCUUUAUAAUUAUUGAUUAGAUUUUUCCAAAUAGUAGCAUGAAUAGUCUCGCCCUGUAACAAUUUCAAAUUUGUGUUCAGUAAUUAAACAUGAUGAUGAUUGUUAAGAUGCAUGUAUAAAAAGACAAAAAAUUACUUGAUGAUAAAAUUAUAACAGGAAAGAUGUACCUGUUCAUUCAUAAGAAUCAUAUCUAGGCUCAUAAGUUCAUCGGUUGCAAAAUUGAUUGAUUCCCACAUUCUUAUUACUUUAACUUUAAUGUUCCCUGCUUGUCCACUUGUUGUCAACUGUUUAAUUAUUUUGUAUGCCAUAAUGAUAUAUCCUGUAUAAAAAGAAUUUGAUGGUCAGCUCAUGUUCAGGUCUAAAUAGUUGCAAAUUACUUACUUUGUACAGAAUCUGACAGGAACAAACUUCUGUAGCAGUGUGCUGGAUCCAGAUGACAAAUCCUUGACAAACUAGCCAAGGAAAGGCGUCCCUGCAAUCUGACUAAAAGAAGGCGAUUUGGUCGAGAGAAGAUGGACUAAUCCUUUCGGGCUAGAUCUGGCUAAAAGAUGUCUGCGCAAGACAAAAAGUUGAUUGUAUUGGUGUUAUAUUUAUAUAUUAUAAGCUUGAGAAUACGUGUUAGACUUGGUCCCGACACCUGAGCAACAAAAAGUUUUAUUUCCAUAAAAAUACGUGUUAUGAUGUGAUGUUUCCUUAUUUUCUUAUUCUAGACACAAACGGUGCACAAACUUUAGCCACAAACCGUAAUAAAACUUUGUUGUAACUAUAAACGGACAUGCAUGUACUUAUUUUGUGAUGUUUCCUUAAUGGAGUCAGAGUCUAAUUGAUGUGA